GACGAACGCUGGCGGCGUGCCUAAUACAUGCAAGUAGAACGCAGUUGCGAACGGGUUAGUAACGCGUAGGUAACUGCCUGGUAGCGGGGGAUAACUAUUGAAAACGCUAGCUAAUACCGCAUACUACCAGAUGGACCUGCGUUGUAUUAGCUAGUUGGUGAGGUAACGGCUCACCAAGGCAACGAUACAUAGCCGACCCGAGAGGGUGCUCGGCCACACUGGAACAUGGGAAUGGCCCAGACACCUACGGGAGGCCGCAGUAGGAGAGCGUCGGCAAUGGGGGGAACCCUGACCGAGCAACGCCGGGUGAGGGAAGAAGGUUUUCGGAUCGUAAAGCUCUGUUGGUAAGGACGCGGUACUUAACCAGAAAGGGACGGCUAACUACGUGCCAGCAGCCGCGGUAAUAC
rnacentral:rRNA from 1 species